ACGUAGGGUGCGAGCGUUAAUCGGAAUUACUGGGCGUAAAGGGUCCGUAGGUGGUUGGGAGGGUCUGGUGUGAAAGCGCCCGGCUCAACUGGGCGAGGCCGUGUGAGACUGAAAAACUGGAGAGAGGUAGAGGCGAAUGGAAUUCCGGGUGGAGUGGUGAAAUGCGUAGAGAUCCGGAGGGACACCAGUGGCGAAGGCGAUUCGCUGGGCCUACUCUGACGCUCAGACGCGACAGCAUGGGGAGCGAACGG
rnacentral:rRNA from 1 species